AUUGAACGCUGGCGGCAUGCCUUACACAUGCAAGUCGAACGGCAGCACGGGUGCUUGCUCCUGGUGGCGAGUGGCGAACGGGUGAGUAAUACAUCGGAACAUGUCCUGUAGUGGGGGAUAGCCCGGCGAAAGCCGGAUUAAUACCGCAUACGAUCUACGGAUGACAGCGGGGGACCUUCGGGCCUCGCGCUGUAGGGUUGGCCGAUGGCUGAUUAGCUAGUUGGUGGGGUAUAGGCCUACCAAGGCGACGAUCAGUAGCUGGUCUGAGAGGACGACCAGCCACACUGGGACUGAGACACGGCCCAGACUCCUACGGGAGGCAGCAGUGGGGAAUUUUGGACAAUGGGCGAAAGCCUGAUCCAGCAAUGCCGCGUGUGUGAAGAAGGCCUUCGGGUUGUAAAGCACUUUUGUCCGGAAAGAAAUCCUUGGCCCUAAUACGGUCGGGGGAUGACGGUACCGGAAGAAUAAGCACCGGCUAACUACGUG
rnacentral:rRNA from 1 species